rnacentral:rRNA from 1 species
GUCAGCGGCGGAACGGGUGAGUAACACGUGGGGUAACCUGCCUGUAAGACUGGGAUAACUCCGGGAAACCGGGGCUAAUACCGGAUAGUUCUUUUCCUCGCAUGAGGAAAAGUGGAAAGGCGGCUUCGGCUGCCACUUACAGAUGGACCCGCGGCGCAUUAGCUAGUUGGUGAGGUAACGGCUCACCAAGGCAACGAUGCGUAGCCGACCUGAGAGGGUGAUCGGCCACACUGGGACUGAGACACGGCCCAGACUCCUACGGGAGGCAGCAGUAGGGAAUCUUCCGCAAUGGACGAAAGUCUGACGGAGCAACGCCGCGUGAGUGAU